UACGAAGGGGGCUAGCGUUGCUCGGAAUGACUGGGCGUAAAGCGUGCGCAGGCGGCUUUCCAAGUCAGUGGUGAAAGCCCGGAGCUCAACUCCGGAAAUGCCAUUGAAACUGUGAAGCUUGAGAACGAGAGAGGUGAGUGGAAUUCCCAGUGUAGAGGUGAAAUUCGUAGAUAUUGGGAAGAACACCAGUGGCGAAGGCGGCUCACUGGCUCGUAACUGACGCUCAUGCACGACAGCGUGGGGAUCAAACAGG
rnacentral:rRNA from 1 species